rnacentral:rRNA from 1 species
GACGAACGCUGGCGGCGUGCUUAACACAUGCAAGUCGAACGCUGAAGCCUGGCUUUUGUUGGGUGGAUGAGUGGCGAACGGGUGAGUAACACGUGAGUAACCUGCCCCCUUCUUUGGGAUAACGCCCGGAAACGGGUGCUAAUACUGGAUAUUCACUGGUCUUCGCAUGGGGGUUGGUGGAAAGGGUUUUCUGGUGGGGGAUGGGCUCGCGGCCUAUCAGCUUGUUGGUGGGGUGAUGGCCUACCAAGGCUUUGACGGGUAGCCGGCCUGAGAGGGUGACCGGUCACAUUGGGACCGAGAUACGGCCCAGACUCCUACGGGAGGCAGCAGUGGGGAAUAUUGCACAAUGGGCGCAAGCCUGAUGCAGCGACGCCGCGUGAGGGAUGGAGGCCUUCGGGUUGUGAACCUCUUUCGCUCAUGGUCAAGCCGCAACUGUGGGUUGUG